UUCCCUACGCAGAAUAAUCCAUUCCCGUGUGAUUCACGCCAACUGUUGGUGUGUUGGCUUUCGUAACCGCCAAAAAUCCAAGUACUCUUUGCAGUGUGUCUCAUUAGGAAACGAACUUCCAGGAUCAAGACUGGUGGUCAUACGGUCGGGACGCCAGUUUGCUACGCGCGGCUUUUCACAUUCCUUGUAUGAUAGUGUUUCUCCUACUCAAAGUAAUCUCCAAGCUCAAUACGCUUUAAUUGUGCCGUCGUUGAUUAACGAUGAUGAAAUGAUUUUCGAGUGUUGGAUGGCUUAUGAAUUAUGGGUUUAAUAUGAAUUGAACCUUGCGGGAAUUGUUUUGGAGAAUUUGAAGCCAUAAAAGUUUAAGGCUAUGGCAAAAAGAAUAUGGCUCACGACCUGUUAAAAAGUCUGAAUGACCAUUCUUGUUUCUUGCAUUUAUCUUUUUAAAUGUCUUCCUUCCUGACAGGUGUCUCUAGCAAUAACCUUCAUCAUAAGAUUACACGGAAUUGCAGCAGCAUCCUUAGUAGUUCGACGUUGUGAAUCCUUGGAGUUUGUAGAGAGAACAGCCCUCUUUAUAGAAGAACAAAGCGAAGUGUUUAGGAUUUGUGGCUUAGUCGUUGAUUGCCUAUAUGUAGCUACUCUUUCCAAUUGCAUGUGGUUUGUAUAUCAAAAUGACAAUUUCCGAUCCACCAUGAAUCCUAUGCUUUGAUUUUCUCGUGCAAUGAUGGAUACUAGACUGCCCUUGGUAGCUUAAUCUUUCUUUGCCAUUCACUUGGACUGGAACGACAACACCACAUCAACCAAUUUGUACAUGUCAGCUGUCCUUGCUUGGGAUUGGGUUGGAUGAUCAUUCUGUUUGUUUUCAAACUUGAGCAAUCUCCAAUGGGUAGCACACGUUAUAGAACCCCAUUAGCCUCCACUUCUCAUUCAAUCGCGUCCAUAUCAACUGGUGGAAAAUAUAGCCGUCAACACUUGAAAUUCAAUGAUUUGUGAAAUCCUGAAAGUCUUAGUCCGUGUCAAAUAUGUAUUUCCUUUCUUCUACGGCAGUUAAUCUCCUUCUAUAUGAGCGUCUUCGCACCUCCUUUCAUUACCCACAACGGAAGUUUGCUACCUCCCUAUGUUUCUCCUGUAUUUGAUUAGGCACAUUCUUUUCUGUUGUCAGAAAUGAUCAUCAUCAGUACAUCGAAUCUGUAAAUUUUUGUAGAUGUCUAUUACCCCUGUUCUUACCAAAGCUACUGCUUAUACCCAUUUAGUCAUGUAGUCAGUUGCAGCUAACAAAUACUUGACGCCCCCAAGUGCAGCUGGAAACGAACAUACAAUAUUCAGUCCCUACUUGUUGAACGACCAUAGGCUCACAACCAGAUGCAACUCACUCUGCUAGUCUCUUUAUAAGAGGGCCAUGAAGCUGACAAGCCAAGCAUUUUCUUAUAUAGUCCUUGCGUCACUCUGCAUAUAAGGCCAAGAGUAGUAUUGGGAUAAAAGCUUAUGCGCUAGCCUCCUGCCUUCAAAAUGAUCCACACAGCACCCAUCAUGUGCCUCAGCAAACGAUUGCUUCCCUUCCUCUCAAGUCACAAGGAAGAUGAAUUUGUAGACGUGUGUACCGCCUCCAUACUCACCAAAGAUAGCACAUACUACAUCAAUCCAUUUGGUGUUGUAGUCAAUUGUAGCUAGCAAGUAGUACACGCCCCCAGGUGCAGUGUAGUCUUUAGUCCAGAGACCACUGCUUCAUACUCCGAUUGAUUGUUUGAAGCUAUAAAUCUUAGUCGGAUGGCUUUUUUGACUUGUAUUUCUCUUGGGAAACUAGUACACAAGCAACGGCUGUACCAUCCGCCUUUGUUAAUCCGUGAAAAGUGUUGGUUCCCAUGGCAGGGGAGAAGCUUCAAGAUGAGAACAUAGAACUGCUGGCUCGGAAAGGCUUUUUUCCCACGUCUAGGUGAAAUUUUAGUGCUCACGGCAGGGGCGAGGCUUCAGGAACAAAUGAGAGGGCUACCUAAUACAAAGUCUUCUACUCCGUUUGCCUUCUUAAUUUAAUGUAUGGUACUCGACGAAAAGGUAAUACGACCAGCAUUCUCACAGUAUAACAUGAAUGGAAAACAACCAAAAAAAAUCGAGAUGGCACAAAAAGGACCACUAAACAAUUGAGUUAGAUCUUAAGUAAGUUAGGAUGACUCCACUCCUAUUUUGUUUUCCUUCGAAGUAGGAGUAUUGGUAGAUUAUAGUAUAUUUUUAUACAAAUAACGGUGUGAUAUAUAUGAAUGAUCAUAGUACCGUACCAAGUAAUAAUUAGACAAAUGGAAAGGAACGAGCAAACCAGUAUGUUGUGAUACACCAGUUCGUUGUUGGUAGAUCACGAGUUUUUUGCUCGUUCCCCUUAGUCGGCGCCAACAGAUGUUGGUGCAAAAAUAUUCACUCCAACACUCUCCGAGAUGCGUAUAGGUGCAUUAAAUCUCUGUCGUUGAUCUGAUUCCUCCAAAGAUGCUGAAGAAAUUGUGAGUGAUGUUGGCCGAUUGAUCUCCAACUGUUGAUUUAACUCCACAAGAAAUAGUUGAUGAUAGUGUAAUUGAUGUUGAAUAGUGGGGGUACCUGCAAAAGUCCGGGAGAGUUUCUUAGCAGGUGUAUUGUGUGGAAAAGGAUUAGAAAAUCUCUACCUUUGAGUUGAGAUUUAGCCUCUAUUUAUAGGCAGGGAGUAGGUCUAUCUCUAGGGUUUUCAUAGUUAUCUUCAAUAACUUCCCUUACUUGUACAAAUCCAAGAAAAC